rnacentral:tRNA from 1 species
GCGAGGGUAGCCAAGCCUGGCCAACGGCGCUGUCUUGAGGGGGCAGUCCCGUAGGGGUUCCUGGGUUCAAAUCCCAGCCCUCGCA